rnacentral:rRNA from 1 species
UACGUAGGUGACAAGCGUUAUCCGGAAUUACUGGGCGUAAAGCGCACGCAGGCGGCUGCUUAAGUCUGACGUGAAAUCUCCUGGCUUAACUGGGAGGGGUCGUUGGAAACUGGGUGGCUUGAGGUGGUGAGAGGGGUGCAGAAUUCCCGGUGUAGUGGUGGAAUGCGUAGAUAUCGGGAGGAAUACCAGUGGCGAAAGCGGCACCCUGGCACUGACCUGACGCUCAUGUGCGAAAGCGUGGGGAGCAAACGGGAUUAGAAACCCCCGUAGUCC